rnacentral:rRNA from 1 species
CGAACGCAUCCUUCGGGGUGAGUGGCAGACGGGUGAGUAACGCGUGGGAACGUGCCCUUCAGUUCGGGAUAACCCAGGGAAACUUGGGCUAAUACCGGAUACGUGCGAGAGCAGAAAGAUUUAUCGCUGAAGGAUCGGCCCGCGUCUGAUUAGCUAGUUGGUGAGGUAAUGGCUCACCAAGGCGACGAUCAGUAGCUGGUCUGAGAGGAUGAUCAGCCACAUUGGGACUGAGACACGGCCCAAACUCCUACGGGAGGCAGCAGUGGGGAAUAUUGGACAAUGGGCGCAAGCCUGAUCCAGCCAUGCCGCGUGAGUGAUGAAGGCCUUAGGGUUGUAAAGCUCUUUCGUCCGGGACGAUAAUGACGGUACCGGAAGAAGAAGCCCCGGCUAACUUCGUGCCAGCAGCCGCGGUAAUACGAAGGGGGCUAGCGUUGUUCGGAAUCACUGGGCGUAAAGGGCGCGUAGGCGGCUUUAUAAGUCGGGGGUGAAAGCCUGUGGCUCAACCACAGAAUUGCCUUCGAUACUGUAGAGCUUGAGACCGGAAGAGGUAAGUGGAACUGCGAGUGUAGAGGUGAAAUUCGUAGAUAUUCGCAAGAACACCAGUGGCGAAGGCGGCUUACUGGUCCGGUUCUGACGCU